AAUCUCCAGCCAUGAUUGUUCAACGCAUUUUAUCACUGUUCCUAUUGAUUUUAUUGCUUUAUUUUGUUGAUUCAAGAAUAUACAAUUUCAAUCAAGAUGCUUACAUUAUUCGUUUCAGUCGAGUGGAUAACGAGUAUUGGAACAAAACUAUUUUCAAACUAUACGAUGCAGUCGCAUCGAAAAUAUCCAGAGAUCGAUUUGGAAUCAAUUUAACAGCAGACACUCUCGUGGAAAUCAGCGCAAAAGAUAAACCAAGAAUGUUAAUCAAAGGAUUUAAAGCAGCUGCCAAUUCUUAUCAGAUGAAAUUAGUUGAUAUGAACGAAGAAUUUUGUGAUGUAAUAAAGAGUCAACAUUAUGGCAUUCUACCGGGUUUUCUAAAGAACGGUCCGAAUCCUGGAUGUCCUUUACAGCCAGGCCAUUAUGCAAUUCACAAUUACGAGCUGUUGUAUAAUAAAUUCCCGCCUGGAUUGCCAGCUGGUGACUACAGAUUGCAAUAUACUUUGUUGUUGCAAAAGGACAACGUCCGGGCGCAUACGUUUAGCGCGUACGGGACGAUUAUUUACAAGAAUAAAUUGAAAACCGACGUUUAAGUUACGUUGCGGUAGUAGUGUAACUUUUAUAGUGUA